GAGUUCAUGCCCUAACGGGUAGACCUCCCACCCUUGUGUAUUUAUACCAUGUUGCUUUGGCGGGCCGCCUGCUCCCCUUCUGGGGUUCCGGCCUCGGGUGCUCGCCAGAGGAUACCAAACUCUGAAUGUUAAUGUCGUCUGAGUACUAUAUAAUAGUUAAAACUUUCAACAACGGAUCUCUUGGUUCU
rnacentral:misc_RNA from 1 species